ACCUGAAGCUUCGGCGAUUGUUUCUAGUGGCGGACGGGUGAGUAACGCGUGGGUACCUGCCUUAUACAGGGGGAUAACAGUCAGAAAUGACUGCUAAUACCGCAUAAGGCUGCAUGGCAAAAACUCCGGUGGUAUAAGAUGGACCCGCGUUGGAUUAGCUAGUUGGUGAGGUAACGGCCCACCAAGGCGACGAUCCAUAGCCGACCUGAGAGGGUGACCGGCCACAUUGGGACUGAGACACGGCCCAAACUCCUACGGGAGGCAGCAGUGGGGAAUAUUGCACAAUGGGCGAAAGCCUGAUGCAGCGACGCCGCGUGAGCGAAGAAGUAUUUCGGUAUGUAAAGCUCUAUCAGCAGGGAAGAUAAUGACGGUACCUGACUAAGAAGCACCGGCUAAAUACGUGCCAGCAGCCGCGGUAAUACGUAUGGUGCAAGCGUUAUCCGGAUUUACUGGGUGUAAAGGGAGCGCAGGCGGUGCGGCAAGUCUGAUGUGAAAGCCGGGGCUCAACCCCGGUACUGCAUUGGAAACUGUCGUACU
rnacentral:rRNA from 1 species